UGUGUUGUCCUAGGUUUUCUUCAGGCACUUGAGCUGCUCUCCCACACAAUGGAAGGGUCCAUGUUUGGUCUUUCAGAUCAUAGAAUCAUUGAACCAUAGGUUCACCAAGCCUUUAGAGAAGAUAAUGAAAAACUGGAUAGAGUAUGGAAGAGAGACACAAAACAGCUCUGAGAACUAACAAAUCACUACAGCAUGAACAUAAUAGAUUCUUACUCUUUUGCUGUUUCAUGCUCAGGACUUCAGUAGCAGUUUGCCCAUGGAUUCCGUGGAAGGGCAGAUUUAACAACUGUGAGCAUCAGCAGCCAGAAACAUCUCUCUGAUGGGUCAUGCACUGAAAGCCUAAGGUUUGGUGCUUCAAAUUACGAAAGAUCAACCCUGGUCUCAGAGUGGAAUUGGUGAAAGGCAUCUAAGAAGGAUUUGUUGACAGGCAUGUAGAGCACUC
rnacentral:lncRNA from 1 species